rnacentral:rRNA from 1 species
GAUGAACGCUGGCGGCGUGCUUAACACAUGCAAGUCGAGCGAGAAGUUUUGAAAAGAUUCUUCGGAUGAAAUUUAAAAUGGAAAGCGGCGGACGGGUGAGUAACGCGUAGGCAACCUGCCCCAUACAAAGGGAUAGCAUUUGGAAACGAAUAUUAAUACCUUAUGACACUUAACUAGUGCAUGCUAGGUAGGUCAAAGAUUUAUCGGUAUGGGAUGGGCCUGCGUCUGAUUAGCUAGUUGGUGAGGUAACGGCUCACCAAGGCGACGAUCAGUAGCCGACCUGUGAGGGUGAACGGCCACAUAGGAACUGAGACACGGUCCAAACUCCUACGGGAGGCAGCAGUGGGGAAUAUUGCACAAUGGGGGAAACCCUGAUGCAGCAACGCCGCGUGAACGAUGAAGGCCUUUGGGUCGUAAAGUUCUGUUCUAGGUGAUGAAAACUGACAGUAACCUAGGAGAAAGCCCCGGCUAACUCCGUG